rnacentral:rRNA from 1 species
AUUGAACGCUGGCGGCAGGCCUAACACAUGCAAGUCGAACGGUAACAGGAAGCAGCUUGCUGCUUUGCUGACGAGUGGCGGACGGGUGAGUAAUGUCUGGGAAACUGCCUGAUGGAGGGGGAUAACUACUGGAAACGGUAGCUAAUACCGCAUAACGUCGCAAGACCAAAGAGGGGGACCUUCGGGCCUCUUGCCAUCGGAUGUGCCCAGAUGGGAUUAGCUAGUAGGUGGGGUAACGGCUCACCUAGGCGACGAUCCCUAGCUGGUCUGAGAGGAUGACCAGCCACACUGGAACUGAGACACGGUCCAGACUCCUACGGGAGGCGGCAGUGGGGAAUAUUGCACAAUGGGCGCAAGCCUGAUGCAGCCAUGCCGCGUGUAUGAAGAAGGCCUUCGGGUUGUAAAGUACUUUCAGCGGGGAGGAAGGGAGUAAAGUUAAUACCUUUGCUCAUUGACGUUACCCGCAGAAGAAGCACCGGCUAACUCCGUG